CAUUUUCAGAAACAGGUUGUUGCUAAUGUCAUAGCGAAAACCAAAAACGGUGAAACGUGAGGUAAAUGACUAAUUUAUAUGGCCAAGACACAGUUGAAGUUCAGCUGCAAUUGCAGCUGCUAAAUUUCAUUGAGGGAUGGAAAUACCGCAUGGACACAAAGGCGAAAAUUCUGGAAUACUAUAAACCACAAGCACACAUACACAUUCGCGUAAGCAUAUGCAUGUAUCUACAUGUAUAUGUAUUGAGAACCACGCCGUUGCCAGACUGAUAAGUUUGCACCUUGUACUGUGCGCAUGAACGAGACGGCAAUAGUAUACAAGCACGCGCGCGCUAAAUUUUCAUAUAUACGUUUGGACAUGUUUUAUUCCAACAACGCAUACAAAGGUAUAGUUUAAAAUGCCGGUUAGCAACGCACUUUUCAAUAUAGAAAAUAGAAAUAGCUAAAAUCCAAA